UACGAAGGGGGCUAGCGUCGUUCGGAAUUACUGGGCGUAAAGCGCGCGCAGGCGGUUUUCCAAGUCAGUGGUGAAAGCCCGGAGCUCAACUCCGGAACUGCCAUUGAUACUGCGAAUCUUGAGUCCGAUAGAGGUGGGUGGAAUUCCUAGUGUAGAGGUGAAAUUCGUAGAUAUUAGGAAGAACACCAGUGGCGAAGGCGGCCCACUGGAUCGGUACUGACGCUGAGGUGCGAAAGCGUGGGGAGCAAACAGG
rnacentral:rRNA from 1 species